rnacentral:rRNA from 1 species
CAGCCGCCGCGGUAAAACCAGCACCUCAAGUGGUCAGGAUGAUUAUUGGGCCUAAAGCAUCCGUAGCCCGUUUUGUAAGUUUUCGGUUAAAUCCAUGCGCUUAACGUAUGGGCUGCUGGGAAUACUGCAUAACUAGGAAGUGGGAGAGGUAGACGGUACUCGGUAGGAAGGGGUAAAAUCCUUUGAUCUAUUGAUGACCACCUGUGGCGAAGGCGGCCUACCAGAACACGUUCGACGGUGAGGGAUGAAAGCUGGGGGAGCAAACCGGAUUAGAUACCCGGGUAGUCCCAGCUGUAAACUAUGCAAACUCAGUGAUGCAUUGGCUUAUGGCCAAUGCAGUGCUGCAGGGAAGCCGUUAAGUUUGCCGCCUGGGAAGUACGUACGCAAGUAUGAAACUUAAAGGAAUUGGCGGGGGGAGCACCA